UACCCCCUUUUCACUUUGCCAGUUAGACUUAUGUCUUUAUUGGCCAUUCAAAUGGGGCAAAGGAAAUGUCCUUUUAAAACUCAGGCAAACUAGGUGUUUGUCUUGUAUCCUGUCAAAGGAAACAAAU
rfam:Tupaia chinensis contig94476, whole genome shotgun sequence.